GUGCCAGCCGCCGCGGUAAUACGUAGGGUGCGAGCGUUAAUCGGAAUUACUGGGCGUAAAGCGUGCGCAGGCGGCUUUGCAAGACAGAGGUGAAAUCCCCGGGCUCAACCUGGGAACUGCCUUUGUGACUGCAAGGCUAGAGUACGGCAGAGGGGGAUGGAAUUCCGCGUGUAGCAGUGAAAUGCGUAGAUAUGCGGAGGAACACCGAUGGCGAAGGCAAUCCCCUGGGCCUGUACUGACGCUCAUGCACGAAAGCGUGGGGAGCAAACAGGAUUAG
rnacentral:rRNA from 1 species